rnacentral:rRNA from 1 species
CCUACGGGGUGCAGCAGUGGGGAAUAUUGGGCAAUGGGCGCAAGCCUGACCCAGCAACGCCGCGUGAAGGAAGAAGGCUUUCGGGUUGUAAACUUCUUUUAAGAGGGAAGAGCAGAAGACGGUACCUCUUGAAUAAGCCACGGCUAACUACGUGCCAGCAGCCGCGGUAAUACGUAGGUGGCAAGCGUUGUCCGGAUUUACUGGGUGUAAAGGGCGUGCAGCCGGGAAGACAAGUCAGAUGUGAAAUCCCGCGGCUCAACGUGGGAACUGCCUUUGAAACUGGCAAACUGGAGUGUGUGAGAGGAUAGUGGAAUUCCAGGUGUAGGAGUGAAAUCCGUAGAUAUCUGGAGGAACAUCAGUGGCGAAGGCGACUAUCUGGCACAUAACUGACGCUGAGGAGCGAAAGCGUGGGUAGCAAACAGGAUUAGAUACCCGUGUAGUC